CUAUCAGGUCCUCUAUACUGGACUGUAUAAUGACCUAUCAGGUCCUCUAUACUGGACUGUAUAAUGACCUAUCAGGUCCUCUAUACUGGACUGUAUAAUGACCUAUCAGGUCCUCUAUACUGGACUGUAUAAUGACCUAUCAGGUCCUCUAUACUGGACUGUAUAAUGACCUAUCAGGUCCUCUAUACUGAACUGUAUAAUGACCUAUCAGGUCCUCUAUACUGGACUGUAUAAUGACCUAUCAGGUCCUCUAUACUGAACUGUAUAAUGACCUAUCAGGUCCUUUUUUUCUGCAGCGGUGGCAAAGUUAGUGUAGUGGGUGUGGCCAAUGGCACGGUCUCCAACCGAAAAUGAGCAGAGAUAUUUUGGUGUUUUAAAGCUAAAUGUCCUUCAAUUCUACACAUGUUGCUGUGGCUUAUGGCGUGUUCUUAUGCUAUCUGAAUGACUCAAACAGUAUAACUAAAUCAAUGCGGGCCCCAGGACAUGAUAUUUGGGGAAUUUUGAUUCUCCUGACUAAUUUUUAUUUUGG
ensembl:lncRNA